rnacentral:rRNA from 1 species
GGGUUGUGAGGUUAAGCGACUAAGCGUACACGGUGGAUGCCCUGGCAGUCAGAGGCGAUGAAGGACGUGCUAAUCUGCGAUAAGCGUCGGUGAGGUGAUAUGAACCGUUAUAACCGGCGAUUUCCGAAUGGGGAAACCCAGUGUGUUUCGACACACUAUCAUUAACUGAAUCCAUAGGUUAAUGAGGCGAACCGGGGGAACUGAAACAUCUAAGUACCCCGAGGAAAAGAAAUCAACCGAGAUUCCCCCAGUAGCGGCGAGCGAACGGGGAGGAGCCCAGAGCCUGAAUCAGUGUGUGUGUUAGUGGAAGCGUCUGGAAAGGCGCGCGAUACAGGGUGACAGCCCCGUACACAAAAAUGCACAUAUUGUGAGCUCGAUGAGUAGGGCGGGACACGUGGUAUCCUGUCUGAAUAUGGGGGGACCAUCCUCCAAGGCUAAAUACUCCUGACUGACCGAUAGUGAACCAGUACCGUGAGGGAAAGGCGAAAAGAACCCCGGCGAGGGGAGUGAAAAAGAACCUGAAACCGUGUACGUACAAGCAGUGGGAGCCUCUUUAUGGGGUGACUGCGUACCUUUUGUAUAAUGGGUCAGCGACUUAUAUUCUGUAGCAAGGUUAACCGAAUAGGGGAGCCGAAGGGAAACCGAGUCUUAACUGGGCGUUAAGUUGCAGGGUAUAGACCCGAAACCCGGUGAUCUAGCCAUGGGCAGGUUGAAGGUUGGGUAACACUAACUGGAGGACCGAACCGACUAAUGUUGAAAAAUUAGCGGAUGACUUGUGGCUGGGGGUGAAAGGCCAAUCAAACCGGGAGAUAGCUGGUUCUCCCCGAAAGCUAUUUAGGUAGCGCCUCGUGAAUUCAUCUCCGGGGGUAGAGCACUGUUUCGGCAAGGGGGUCAUCCCGACUUACCAACCCGAUGCAAACUGCGAAUACCGGAGAAUGUUAUCACGGGAGACACACGGCGGGUGCUAACGUCCGUCGUGAAGAGGGAAACAACCCAGACCGCCAGCUAAGGUCCCAAAGUCAUGGUUAAGUGGGAAACGAUGUGGGAAGGCCCAGACAGCCAGGAUGUUGGCUUAGAAGCAGCCAUCAUUUAAAGAAAGCGUAAUAGCUCACUGGUCGAGUCGGCCUGCGCGGAAGAUGUAACGGGGCUAAACCAUGCACCGAAGCUGCGGCAGCGACACUAUGUGUUGUUGGGUAGGGGAGCGUUCUGUAAGCCUGUGAAGGUGGCCUGUGAGGGUUGCUGGAGGUAUCAGAAGUGCGAAUGCUGACAUAAGUAACGAUAAAGCGGGUGAAAAGCCCGCUCGCCGGAAGACCAAGGGUUCCUGUCCAACGUUAAUCGGGGCAGGGUGAGUCGACCCCUAAGGCGAGGCCGAAAGGCGUAGUCGAUGGGAAACAGGUUAAUAUUCCUGUACUUGGUGUUACUGCGAAGGGGGGACGGAGAAGGCUAUGUUGGCCGGGCGACGGUUGUCCCGGUUUAAGCGUGUAGGCUGGUUUUCCAGGCAAAUCCGGAAAACCAAGGCUGAGGCGUGAUGACGAGGCACUACGGUGCUGAAGCGACAAAUGCCCUGCUUCCAGGAAAAGCCUCUAAGCAUCAGGUAACAUCAAAUCGUACCCCAAACCGACACAGGUGGUCAGGUAGAGAAUACCAAGGCGCUUGAGAGAACUCGGGUGAAGGAACUAGGCAAAAUGGUGCCGUAACUUCGGGAGAAGGCACGCUGAUAUGUAGGUGAAGCGACUUGCUCGUGGAGCUGAAAUCAGUCGAAGAUACCAGCUGGCUGCAACUGUUUAUUAAAAACACAGCACUGUGCAAACACGAAAGUGGACGUAUACGGUGUGACGCCUGCCCGGUGCCGGAAGGUUAAUUGAUGGGGUUAGCGGUAACGCGAAGCUCUUGAUCGAAGCCCCGGUAAACGGCGGCCGUAACUAUAACGGUCCUAAGGUAGCGAAAUUCCUUGUCGGGUAAGUUCCGACCUGCACGAAUGGCGUAAUGAUGGCCAGGCUGUCUCCACCCGAGACUCAGUGAAAUUGAAUUCGCUGUGAAGAUGCAGUGUACCCGCGGCAAGACGGAAAGACCCCGUGAACCUUUACUAUAGCUUGACACUGAACAUUGAGCCUUGAUGUGUAGGAUAGGUGGGAGGCUUUGAAGUGUGGACGCCAGUCUGCAUGGAGCCGACCUUGAAAUACCACCCUUUAAUGUUUGAUGUUCUAACGUUGGCCCGUAAUCCGGGUUGCGGACAGUGUCUGGUGGGUAGUUUGACUGGGGCGGUCUCCUCCUAAAGAGUAACGGAGGAGCACGAAGGUUGGCUAAUCCUGGUCGGACAUCAGGAGGUUAGUGCAAUGGCAUAAGCCAGCUUGACUGCGAGCGUGACGGCGCGAGCAGGUGCGAAAGCAGGUCAUAGUGAUCCGGUGGUUCUGAAUGGAAGGGCCAUCGCUCAACGGAUAAAAGGUACUCCGGGGAUAACAGGCUGAUACCGCCCAAGAGUUCAUAUCGACGGCGGUGUUUGGCACCUCGAUGUCGGCUCAUCACAUCCUGGGGCUGAAGUAGGUCCCAAGGGUAUGGCUGUUCGCCAUUUAAAGUGGUACGCGAGCUGGGUUUAGAACGUCGUGAGACAGUUCGGUCCCUAUCUGCCGUGGGCGCUGGAGAACUGAGGGGGGCUGCUCCUAGUACGAGAGGACCGGAGUGGACGCAUCACUGGUGUUCGGGUUGUCAUGCCAAUGGCACUGCCCGGUAGCUAAAUGCGGAAGAGAUAAGUGCUGAAAGCAUCUAAGCACGAAACUUGCCCCGAGAUGAGUUCUCCCUGACUCCUUGAGAGUCCUGAAGGAACGUUGAAGACGACGACGUUGAUAGGCCGGGUGUGUAAGCGCAGCGAUGCGUUGAGCUAACCGGUACUAAUGAACCGUGAGGCUUAACCUUACAACGCCGAAG